GGCACAGGAAGUCUCAGAAAUAUACCAGGAUCAUGUAAUUAAUAAGCAAUAGAACCAGAAUUUAAACCUAGGCAGUCUAGUUCAACAUCCACACUCAUCCAUCACACCAUACUGCCUUUCAGAGCAAUAAUGUGCCAUUGAAGUGCUGCGAUGGAGAUGGGGUAGCAGAAUCAGAUUUGAAUUGUGAAAAGAUUGCUGUGGCUAUGGGUUCUUAUCACUCUAAUCACUGCUUGCACCAUCCUUGGGGAGGGCACUGGGGAGUUAACAGUCUCCAUCUGGUGGUGUGCUGGUGCUGGCUUGCAAAAACUAAUUGUGCACAUCUCUUCCCAACUCCCCAAUCAAUGAUGUCACAUCAAUAGGCUUAAAUCAGCUACGGUGAGAGCAUUUACACCAUGGAAAGGCACACACUACAAACCAGGGUCUGCUUUUCUCUGCCAAGCUGGCUGACAAACAGUUACCAGCACAUCACUAUCUCUGUCUCACCCCCGUAGCCUCUCGAAGUCUCCGUCCACAUCCCUCCAUUUCCAGCCUCCAUAUCUUGAAGGGUGAGACAGGAAGGUGAGGCCCCUGAGUCUAGGAGUACAAAGGCCUAGAUUAUAGCCCAGCUCUGCUAGGCAGAGGCGUCGUUCCUGGCCCAUUCUCUUCCACCCCAGGUCUGGAGGAGUGCGGGCACAUCAGUGUCUCAGCCCCCAUCGUCCACCUGGGGGAUCCCAUCACAGCCUCCUGCAUCAUCAAGCAGAACUGCAGCCAUCUGGACCCGGAGCCACAGAUUCUGUGGAGACUGGGAGCAGAGCUUCAGCCCGGGGGCAGGCAGCAGCGUCUGUCUGAUGGGACCCAGGAAUCUAUCAUCACCCUGCCCCACCUCAACUACACUCAGGCCUUUCUCUCCUGCUGCCUGAACUGGGGCAACAGCCUGCAGAUCCUGGACCAGGUUGAGCUGCGCGCAGGCUACCCUCCAGCCGUACCCCACAACCUCUCCUGCCUCAUGAACCUCACAACCAGCAGCCUUAUCUGCCAGUGGGAGCCAGGACCUGAGACCCACCUACCCACCAGCUUCACUCUGAAGAGCUUCAAGUGAGGAGGGGCCCCCACCCUGGUCCCCUCGCUUUGGAUUCUGGGGAGCCGGGGCAACUGUCAGACCCAAGGGGACUCCAUCCUGGACUGCGUGCCCAAGGACGGGCAGAGCCACUGCUCCAUUCCACGCAGACACCUGCUGUUGUACCAGAAUAUGGGCAUCUGGGUGCAGGCGGAGAACGCGCUGGGGACCAGCAUGUCCCCACAACUGUGUCUUGAUCCCAUGGACGUUGGUGGGUGAUGCAGGGGAGGGAGGGGGUCCCCAAAAUGGGCAGACACUGAGAGGAAUGGAGAGGGAAACACAGAACCAGCCACAGACAAGAAGACACUGGAAGACCUAGAGACAGAGGCACAGAAGAGGGACAGAGACAAAGAAAGGUGCAGCUGGACACAGAGAAAUGGGGACACAGACCCAGAGACAGGAAGAGACACAGAGGCAAAGAGACACAUUCAGUCAUGCUUUCAGCGCGUUUCCUGAAGCACCCACUACAUGUUAGGCACUGCUCUAGGUACUGGGGACAUAAAGCAUCAAAAAUCCUGCCCUCAGAAUGUUAGAUUCCAGUGGGGAGAAAAAUAAGAUAGAAUUUCAGAUAGCAAUAAGCAGAAAGGAGAAAUUAAAGGAGGAGAAGGGCAUAGAGAGACAGGGGGGAAGGGGAGCACUGGCUAUUUCAAUAUGUUGGUCAAGAAAGGCCUCACUAAGAGGGUGACAAUUGAGCAGAUCCUUGAAGGAAAUGAGGGAGCAAGCUGCUGGAUAUCUGGAGGGAAAACAUUUCAAGCAGAAGUAACAACCAGUGCAAAGGAACUGGGGCAAGAGUGGAAACAGAGACCUAGAGAGAAACAAAGACACAUAGAGACCGAACCACAGAAACGUGCCAUUGGCAACAUGGACAGAUGGUUAACCACAGACAGGGAGACAAGAGGGAGCUAAGGCAGAGCCCUCUAGAGUGGGAUAGGGAGACUUUCUGACAGCCCCACUCCUUGCAGUGAAACUGGAGCCCCCCAUGCUGCGCACCAUGGACCCCAGCCCUGAAGCGGCCCCUCCCCAGGCAGGCUGCCUACAGCUGUGCUGGGAGCCAUGGCAGCCAGGCCUGCACAUAAAUCAGAAGUGUGAGCUGCGCCACAAGCCGCAGCAUGGAGAAGCUAGCUGGGCACUGGUGGGCCCCCUGCCCUUGGAGGCCCUUCGAUAUGAGCUCUGCGGGCUCCUCCCAGCCACGGCCUACACCCUGCAGAUACGCUGCAUCCGCUGGCCCCUGCCUGGCCACUGGAGCGACUGGAGCCCCAGCCUGGAGCUGAGAACUACCGAACGGGCCCCCACUGUGAGACUGGACACAUGGUGGCGGCAGAGGCAGCUGGACCCCAGGACAGUGCAGCUGUUCUGGAAGGUGACUCCCUCUGAAGGCCAUCCCUCCACCUUGACACCUCCUCCAAUCCAAACAGAUCCCUACAAACCAGAGCUUAGGACUCCAACAGGUCUGGGAGGCGUGGAUGCAUAUUUAUAUGUGAUUUGCAUGCACUUUGCAUGCGCCUAGGGAGCGAGUUAGCUUUUGGAGAGACUAUAAUGCAGGUCACAGGGUGGUUCAGUGAAUAGUUAAGAGCCUGCUGUGUCCACUGACUUGUUUCUUCCUGCCCUCCUUCCUAGAACCUAGCACAAGGGAACGGAGGGAAAAGGGGAGGCGGGUGAGAAGCCUGGCCCCCAGCCUGGGGAGGCUCCGUUUGUAUGAUCCAUCCACCCCACCUAGAGGCUCUCCUCGACUCAAGAUGAGCUGCACAUCCCCUUCUCUUUUUCCUCCUGUGCCCCACAGCCAGUGCCCCUGGAGGAAGACAGCGGACAGAUCCAAGGUUAUGUGGUUUCUUGGAGACCCUCAGGCCAGGCUGGGGCCAUCCUGCCCCUCUGCAACACCACAGAGCUCAGCUGCACCUUCCACCUGCCUUCAGAAGCCCAGGAGGUGGCCCUUGUGGCCUAUAACUCAGCCGGGACCUCUCGUCCCACCCCGGUGGUCUUCUCAGAAAGCAGAGGCCCAGCCCUGACCAGACUCCAUGCCAUGGCCCGAGACCCUCACAGCCUCUGGGUAGGCUGGGAGCCCCCCAGUCCAUGGCCUCAGGGCUAUGUGAUUGAGUGGGGCCUGGGCCCCCCCAGCGCGAGCAAUAGCAACAAGACCUGGAGGAUGGAACAGAAUGGGAGCGCCACGGGGUUUCUGCUGAAGGAGAACAUCAGGCCCUUUCAGCUCUAUGAGAUCACUGUGACUCCUUUGUACCAGGACACCAUGGGACCCUCCCAGCAUGUCUAUGCCUACUCCCAAGAAAUGGGUUUGUCAACCAUCAGGCCCCUUUCCAGAAUCCUCUCCUCUCUCUCCCAAGGCUCUGCCUGGUCCCCAUCAAUCAGGAGUAUAGGGAACAUUGCCUUCCUACCAUACUUCCGGCCCUGGAGAGGAUCUCUCCCAAUCCCCUGGCUUACACUGGAUCCCUACAGCUGGACAGAAAUCAGGUGCUGGGAUAGAAAUUGAGUAGGGAGUUGGCACAAUUCAAGGAGCAAACCUGGCAAAAAUCAAUCAAUUUCCCAGACAAAAAUAAGGUGUUAUAUGUGACAGAAAUUGGACAGAGGGGCCGGGUGCAGUGGCUCACACCUGUAAUCCUAACACUCUGGGAGGCCGGAGCAGGCAGAUCCCCUGAGCUCAAGAGUUUGAGACCAGCCUCGGCAAUCUUGUCUCUACAGAAAAAUAAAUAAAUAAAUAAACCAACCAACCAAAAAUUAGCUGGGUGCAGCGACAUGUGCCUGUAACCCCAGCUACUUGAGAGGCUGAGGUGGGAGGACUGGAGGGCUUGAGCCCAGGAGGUCGAGGCUGUAGUGAGCCAAGAUGGUGCCACUGCACUCCAGCCUGGGUGACAGAGCGAGACCCUGUCUCAAAAACAAAAACAAAAGAAAUUAGACAGAGGACCUGGCAUAAAUUCGAAGAGUGAGUGGCAGAAAUCAGAGAGUAAAUCAGAUGAAAUCAGGCCUGGUAGAAAUCAGAAAGUGAGGCUUUAGAGUCAAGCAGAGCCAGGUUCAAAUCCUGGCUCAGACACUUAUUAGCAGUAGAUGGAAUCUAGAUUAAGUCCCUGGGAAAAAUGAGGGUUGGGCAUGAGUCCCCUUGGACUCUUUUCUCACCCACCCCACAGUGUCUGGGAAGCCACAAGAAGUCCAAUCGGGCUCUUGCUCUGCCCCACUCCCUUCAGCCCCCGCACCUCUCUCUUCCCAUAGCUCCCUCCCAUGCCCCAGAGCUGCAUCUAAAGCACAUUGGCAAGACCUGGGUACAGCUGGAGUGGGUGCCUGAGCCCCCUGAGCUGGGGAAGAGCCCCCUUACCCACUACACCAUCUUCUGGACCAACGUUCAGAACCAGUCCUUCUGUGAGUCUAUCCUCAGUUCCCCCACAGCCCCAGAAGGCCUGGGAGGGGGUGCUCAGCUGCCACGGAGGCAGCUUUAGCAUCCAGGCCUACGCUGACCGUACACCCCUCCCAGCCGCCAUCCUGAAUGCCUCCUCCCGUGGCUUUGUCCUCCAUGGCCUGGAGCCCGCCAGUCUGUAUCACAUCCACCUCAUGGCUGCCAGCCAGGCCGGGGCCACCAACAGUACAGUCCUCACCCUGAUGACCUUGACUCCAGAGGGGUCGGAGCUACACAUCCUCCUGGGCCUGUUCGGCCUCCUGCUCUUGCUCACCUGCCUCUGUGGAACUGCCUGGCUCUGCUGCAGCCCCAACAGGAAGAAUCCCCUCUGGCCAAGUGUCCCAGACCCAGCUCACAGCAGCCUGGGGUCCUGGGUGCCCACAAUCAUGGAGGAGGUGAGAAUCCAGGAGGGAGAGGGAAAUGAGAUGGGGAUGUCGGCCCAGGCUCAGUGAAGGGACACCUUCUGAAGCCAAGUACUCAGGCCUUCCUGUCACGUCCGGCAACAUCCCAUCCCUUUGGAGUGAAGCAGACCCAACUUUGAAUCCCACCUCUGUCCAUCUCAAAGCCUCAGUCACCUCCCUGUGAUACGGAAAAACUGACCAUGCUGAGUCUGAACGGCGCAUGGCAUGUGUCAGGCAUGUGCGAGGAACAUACUAGUGCUUUGCAAGUGGAACCCUUUGUGUUCCACCAGUAACAACAGGAAUGUCCCCACAACUGCCUGGACCCAGACAGGGAUGGUGGCUGGGGCAGACAUCUGAAAAGAGCCGUGCUCUCACCCCACAUCCUUGUGUGCAGGAUGCCUUCCAGCUGCCCGGCCUUGGCACGCCACCCAUCACCAAGCUCACAGUGCUGGAGGAGGACAAGAAGAAGCCGGUGCCCUGGGAAUCCCAUAACAGCUCAGAGACCUGUGGCCUCCCCACUCUGGUCCAAACCUAUGUGCUCCAGGGGGACCCAAGAGCAGCUUCCACCCAGCCCCAAUCCCAGUCUGGCACCAGCGAUCAGGUCCUUUAUGGGCAGCUGCUGGGCAGCCCCACAAGCCCAGGGCCAGGGCACUAUCUCCGCUGUGACUCCACUCAGCCCCUCUUGGCGGGCCUCACCCCCAGCCCCAAGUCCUAUGAGAACCUCUGGUUCCAGGCCAGCCCCCUGGGGACCCUGGUAACCCCAGCCCCAAGCCAGGAGGACGACUGUGUCUUUGGGCCACUGCUCGACUUCCCCCUCCUGCAGGGGAUCCGGGUGCAUGGGAUGGAGGGGCUGGGGAGCUUCUAGGGCUUCCUGGGGUUCCCUUCUUGGGCCUGCCUCUUAAAGGCCUGAGCUAGCUGGAGGAGAGGGGAGGAUCCAUAAGCCCAUGACUAAAAACUACCCCAGUCCAGGCUCUCACCAUCUCCAGUCACCAGCAUCCCCCUCUCCUCCCAAUCUCCAUAGGCUGGGCCUCCCAGGCGAUCUGCAUACUUUAAGGACCAGAUCAUGCUCCAGCCAGCCCCCCUGCCUUUUGUGCUUGUUUCCUUAACUUCAGUAUUGUAAACUAGUUUUUGGUUUGGAGUUUUGUUGUUUAUAGACACUCUUGGGUGU
rnacentral:sRNA from 1 species